rnacentral:rRNA from 1 species
UACGUAGGGUGCAAGCGUUGUCCGGAAUUAUUGGGCGUAAAGAGCUCGUAGGCGGUUUGUCGCGUCUGCUGUGAAAACCCGAGGCUCAACCUCGGGCCUGCAGUGGGUACGGGCAGACUAGAGUGCGGUAGGGGAGAUUGGAAUUCCUGGUGUAGCGGUGAAAUGCGCAGAUAUCAGGAGGAACACCGGUGGCGAAGGCGGGUCUCUGGGCAGUAACUGACGCUGAGGAGCGAAAGCGUGGGGAGCAAACAGG